rnacentral:rRNA from 1 species
AUUGAACGCUGGCGGCAGGCCUAACACAUGCAAGUCGAACGAGUGGCGGACGGGUGAGUCAUGUCUGGGAACCUGCCCGAUGGAGGGGGAUAACUACUGGAAACGGUAGCUAAUACCGCAUACCAUCGGAUGUGCCCAGAUGGGAUUAGCUUGUAGGUGAGGUAACGGCUCACCUAGGCGACGUUCCCUAGCUGGUCUGAGAGGAUGACCAGCAACAGUGGACCUGAGACAGGGUGCAGACUCCGACGGGAGGCAGAAGUGGGGAAUAUUGCACAACGGUCGCAAGCUUGAUGCAGCCAUGCCGCGUGUAUGAAGAGGGCCUUCGGGUUGUAAAGGACUUUCAGCGGGGAGGCGUUACCCGCAGAAGAAGCACCGGCUAACUCAGUGGCAGCAGCCGCGGUAAUUC